rnacentral:lncRNA from 10 species
GGUGCUUCCAGCGGACGGCAGCGCGCGAGGUGAGACGGCGAGGGCUCCCGGGGCGCAGACCAGGCCAGGCGUCAAAGCAAGUCACCCAUCCGACCUAAACCCCUCUAAGACCCCGGAGUCACGUCUCCCUCCGGGGAUCCUCGUGAGGUCUUGGGGGUCCCACCGCCCUGCGAGCCGCGCCCGCGCCCCGCCAGACCCGGAACUGCGUCGCUAGGUUUGCGCUGGAGCUGCUGGGAUUGCUGGGCAUGGGUGGGGGGGCGCAGAGGAGGAGGGGGGAUUGGAGGGACCUCUGCGGAGCUGGCAGACCCCGGUACUACUGUCCUGGCGCACCCAGCCCUUCUCUGUACCAGGCCGGGAGAGGGAGGCGGCGCCGCAGAGCCUCGGGUGCAGUCUGAGAAGUUUGGGAGUGACUUGAAGAGUGACUGGAAGCACCCCAGACCCGAACGUCGGGACCUGGUUCCCUCUUUAAUCACACCCCCGGGGGCGCUUCGUGUGAGGUUCCACGGGGGAAGGCGAGAGGCGCAGGCUGCCACACACGCACUGUUUGGAAGAGGGGAAGGGCUGCACUUCCUGCUUUCAUCCAGACCAAGUUCGGAUCAAGUGGGAGUUCUUCAAAGAGAGAGUUUGGUAAGAAACUGGGGAGGCAAGGAAAACCUCUUAAGGCCAUAAAUGCCACAAGGUUUAUAGACAUCGAAUCGCCAUCCCAGUUUAACUCGAGUCUGGAUACUUUGGCUUGCAUGAUUCUGCACCCUUGAAUUCCUUAUCCACAUCAGCCCUUACUGGGGAAUCCUGCCUCCAAUCCACUUUUCAGAUCUUGUUCAAUUUCUCCACUUAACUCCUAUUUUUGUGCAACAACACACAUAUACAUUCAUACACAGAUACACACGUACACACAGACCCCUUCCUUGAAGAGGAAAGUCUAGCACAGGAGUUCCUGACAGGGUCCCCUUAGCUAGCCACAGCUGUAAACGUUUAAUGGGGUCUACCCCAAUCAGAGAAAAAAGCAUCACAUUGCAGUAGCUGUGCAUUACCAAUCAGAGGUCUUGGCAACUCCAGCCAUGUCACCCACUCCCCACUUGUGGAGAAUUAGUGGCCCUUACUCUAUAGUUUCCAGCAGAUGGGGGAGGUGGGCAAGGGGGAAGACUUCAGGAAAAAAGUCCUGUCAGGCUACAAGAGAGGCCACAAGACGUUAGCACAUAACUUUGAAUGAAGAAGGCUGGAGGUUGUUCUAGGCUGAAUUUUCUUAAAGAUUGUAACUUUAUGUUUUACCCACCUCUCAUACACACAUAGGAACUCCACUUCAACCUGUGGUAGGUAAGGAUUGGGUAAUUGUGUCUAUAAUAAGAUUGAGCAUAAGGAAAGUCUUCAGUACAUAAGGGAGCCUGGAAAGGGAGGAUGCUGCCUCCUCCUCCCUAGGCCAGGUGAGAAAGGAGGACCCUAAAGUGUGGGAAACUCCCCCCACCCCAUGAGAAAGCAUCCCAAUUUUGUCACAGGGGCCUGGGAUGAAGUCUAUAUUACUGAGAAUGACAGUCUGGGUGGUUCUUGCGUCUGUGUCUCUGUUUAUCUAAAUUUGUAGGUGCAUAUUUGACUGUAUCUUGUGUCUGCUUAUUUAUAUCAAUGUACACUGUGCAUACAUCCUAGUCAUGGUGAUGAGGUAGGGGAGGAGUGGGUCAAGUUAAUAUUGAUAUGAGAUUUUCUCACAUUAAAACUAAUUUUACUGUCAGAUGUUACUUGACGAGCCAGAAAGAAAGAUGUUCCCCAGGGAAACACAAGCGUUGUAGGAAAAGCAGGACUGUGGGGUGUGGGGUCUUCUCAUUUCUGUCCCACCUCUUCAUGCAUGAGCCCUGUUAGCUUAAUAAUGAAAACAAAAUUAGGGUCAGGGUCAUGAAAAAUUAACUUUAAAUUAGGCAAUGCAAAUAAAGGAAGACCUAAGUUAUGAAAUGGAACAAGAAGAAAUUAAGAAAGGCAAAUUUCAUUUACCAACUGUUUUUUUGCUUCUGUCAUCUUUAAUAAAUAUGACAUUUUGGAGAACUGGAAAUAAGUUAACAUUGUUCUAUACUUAAAAUACGAAAAGCCUUUUGUUAGUGUUUCUUUUAAGCACAUGUUAAUAGAAAUGAAACAUUCUUGUAAAUUUUUUUAUAACCUCCCUUUAAAAUAAAUGCAGGAAUAAUAUUUAACCCUGACCAAAAUACAUUAUAUUAUCUCUUAUUCACAUAUAUUAAAAAUACUCCUUUUUGAACUCCAGCGUAUCACAUGUGUUCUUGCUGUUAGCCUCGCUUUAUCUUCUAUCUUAUUAGCCAAGAUAUUUUACAUUUUAUAGACCUUCCUCCUAUGAACUUUUAUUUAAAAAUAUAAUAGCUUCAGUCUACAUGUCAUAAAUAAAGAAUUCUUACGUCAGUAAACAUCUGCUUUAA